rnacentral:lncRNA from 1 species
UGGAUUCUAAUAAGUUUUGUUGAUUCAUGUGAUUCAUUAUUUGUCUGUUAUUAUUGUGAAAUUGUGGAAGCAAUUAGAAAUGAUCAAGGCACUUGUUUUCUUUCGAGCACAACUACAUCCAAAAACAACUUACCUGUGAGCAGAGAGAGUAUUUGUUAACCCCUUUGAGCCUAAACAGUUGAAUCUCGGCUUGAAAUAAAGCGAGAUCUCAAAAAUCUUUUUUUUACAACCCGGAAAAUAUUGAUUAUUGUUCUUUUGCCGUAAAAAGGUAAGAGCAUUCACUUAGGGUGUGGAAGAAAUAAGUUGGGGAGAACGAAAAAGAAUUGGUAAGCACCACAACUCUUGAAAAAGAAAAGAAAAACCGAGCAAGCAUAGAAAAAUAUAUGUAUAGAAAAUAUAGAAAAGAAACAUCUGUUUUGUACAUUUGAUGUGAAAGAAAAGAACAAAAAUAUAAAGAAUGAAAAUG